rnacentral:rRNA from 1 species
UACGUAGGGGGCUAGCGUUGUCCGGAAUCAUUGGGCGUAAAGCGCGUGUAGGCGGCCCGGUAAGUCCGCUGUGAAAGUCGGGGGCUCAACCCUCGGAUGCCGGUGGAUACUGUCGGGCUAGAGUACGGAAGAGGCGAGUGGAAUUCCUGGUGUAGCGGUGAAAUGCGCAGAUAUCAGGAGGAACACCAAUUGCGAAGGCAGCUCGCUGGGACGUGACUGACGCUGAGACGCGAAAGCGUGGGGAGCGAACAGG